AUUGAACGCUGGCGGGAGGCUCUACACAUGCAAGUCGAGCGAGCGGCGGACGGGUGAGAAAUGUCUGGGAAACUGCCUGAUGGAGGGGGGUAACUACUGGAAACGGGAGCUAUUAUCGCAUACCAUCUGAUGGGCCCAGAUGGGAUUAGCUAGUAGGUGGGGUAACGGCUCACCUAGGCGACGAUCCCUAGCUGGUCUGAGAGGAUGACCAGCCACACUGGAACUGAGACACGGUCCAGACUCCUACGGGAGGCAGCAGUGGGGAAUAUUGGACAAUGGGCGAAAGCCUGAUGCAGCCAUGCCGCGUGUGUGAAGAAGGCCUUCGGGUUGUAAAGCACUUUCAGCGGGGAGGCGUUACCCGCAGAAGAAGCACCGGCUAACUCCGUGCCAGCCGCCGCGGUAAUAC
rnacentral:rRNA from 1 species